AAGGAACAAAAUGCUGACACUGACUGCGUUCCAGGCAACCCGUAACUCGUGUUUUCUCAACCUUCUACCCGUGAAGCCCUGGAACGGCAGUCAAACCCGUAACGUACUACUCGUAAACUCGUAUCAGAUCGUUGUACUCCCAGUUACAGUUCUGAUGUCACACAC